rnacentral:lncRNA from 1 species
CAGUCCCCCUCUUUCCCCAGACCCAAGUCCCCCCUUUCCAGGCUCCGGUGCCCCCAUAUUUCUAGGCUCCAGUCCCCCCUUUUGCCUGAGCUCUAGUCUUCUUUUCCCAGCCUCCAGUCCCCUUUUCUGGGGUUCAGCCCCCCUUCCCCCCUUUUCCCAAUCUCCAGUGCCCCUUUCUGGGCUCCAGCCCCCUUUUUCCAGCCCCCAGCCUCCCUGAUUUGCUCCCCGUGGCUCCCCAGGUCCGAUGGAUGAUGUACUGGAUCGUCUUCGCUUUCUUCAUGACCGCAGAGACCUUCACCGACGUCCUCAUCUCCUGGCUCCCCUUCUACUACGAGGUGAAGAUGGCUUUUAUCAUCUGGCUGCUGUCCCCGUACACGCGGGGGGCCAGCCUGCUCUACCGCCGCUUCGUGCACCCCACGCUGGCCCGCAGGGAGAAGGUAAAACCCCAGAAUCCAGGGAGGUAAAACCCCAAAAUCCAGGGAGGUAAAACCCCAAAAUCCGGGGAGGUAAAACCCCAAAAUCCGGAAAGGUAAAACCCCAAAAUCCAGGGAGGUAAAAUCCGGGAAGGUAAAACCCCAAAAUCCAGGAAGGUAAAAUUCGGGAAGGUAAAACCCCAAAGUCCGGGGAGGUAAAACCCCAAAAUCCGGGGAGGUAAAAUUCAGGAAGGUAAAACCCCAAAAUCCGGGGAGAUAAAACCCCAAAAUCCAGGAAGGUAAAACCCCAAAAUCCAGGGAGGUAAAAUCCGGGGAGGUAAAACCCCAAAAUCCAGGGAGAUAAAACCCCAAAAUCCAGGAAGGUAAAAUUCAGGGAGGUAAAACCCCAAAAUCCAGGAAGGUAAAACCCCAAAAUCCAGGAAGGUAAAAUUCAGGAAGGUAAAACCCCAAGGUCCGGGGAGGUAAAACCCCAAAAUCCAGGAAGGUAAAAUUCAGGAAGGUAAAACCCCAAAGUCCGGGGAGGUAAAACCCCAAAGUCCGGGGAGGUAAAACCCCAAAGUCCGGGGAGGUAAAACCCCAAAAUCCAGGAAGGUAAAGUCCGGGAAGGUAAAACCCCAAAGUCCGGGAAGGUAAAACCCCAAAAUCCCAGGGUCUGGGGGUUCCCCUGCCCAGCCUGGUGGGGGUCAGCCCCUCCUGGAGUUGGGGUGGUGACACCCUGGGGAUGUGGCAUUGCCUGAAGUUGUGGGAGGUGAUGAUGUGCAGGGAUGUGGGGGUGACAAUACUCAGGGACAUGGCAUUGCCCUGGGAGGUGACAGUGCCCUGGGAGGUGACAAUGCUCAGGGACAUGGGGGUGAACUGAGGGUUGAUAAUACCCAGGGACAUGGCAUUGCUCUGGAGGGUGACAAUGCCCUGGGAGGUGGACAAUGGUGAAGGACAUGGUAUGAUGCCCUGGGAGGUGCCAAUGCUUGGGGAAUGCCUCAGAUCAUGGCAUUGCCCUAGGGGGUGACAAUGCCCUGGGACAUGGGGAUGCACUGGGGAAGUGACAGUUCCCUU